AACGAACGCUGGCGGCAUGCCUAACACAUGCAAGUCGAACGAGACCUUCGGAUCUAUUGUCGCACGGUUUCGUCACGCGUGGGAACCUUCCCUUAUGGUCGGAAUAACUCUCCGACUGGGGUGCUAAUACCGGAUAAUUUCUUCUAACCAAAGAUAUAUCGCCUUUGGAUGUGCCCGCGUGGGAUUAGCUCUUUGUGAGGGUAAAAGCCUACCAAGGCGACGAUCCAUAGCUGGGUUGCGAGGAUGAUCAGCAACACUGGGACUGAGACACGGCCCGGACUCCUACGGGAGGGAGCAGUGGCGAAUCGUGGCAAAGGGGCGAAAGCCUGAUAGAGCAAUGCAGCGUGAGUGAUGAAGGCCUGAGGGUAGUAAAGCUCUUUUAACCGGGAUGAUACUGACAGUACCGGAAGAAUAAGCCCCGGCUAACUCCGUG
rnacentral:rRNA from 1 species